rnacentral:snoRNA from 1 species
UGGAUAUUUAUUCGUACUCAGUUUCUUCUCAAGGUGAAGAUAAUGCUUGACAAAUGUCCUAGAGAAAUAUAGUAGCUUUCUGUUCACCCUUUGCAAGUAAAAAGGGUGAGGAUCGUUCUACUACUGGCACUU